rnacentral:rRNA from 1 species
AACGAACGCUGGCGGCAGGCUUAACACAUGCAAGUCGAGCGCCCCGCAAGGGGAGCGGCAGACGGGUGAGUAACGCGUGGGAACGUACCUUUUGGUUCGGAACAACUCCGGGAAACUGGAGCUAAUACCGGAUAAGCCCUAACGGGGAAAGACUUAUCGCCGAAAGAUCGGCCCGCGUCUGAUUAGCUAGUUGGUGAGGUAACGGCUCACCAAGGCGACGAUCAGUAGCUGGUCUGAGAGGAUGAUCAGCCACACUGGGACUGAGACACGGCCCAGACUCCUACGGGAGGCAGCAGUGGGGAAUAUUGGACAAUGGGCGCAAGCCUGAUCCAGCCAUGCCGCGUGAGUGAUGAAGGCCUUAGGGUUGUAAAGCUCUUUUGUCCGGGAAGAUAAUGACUGUACCGGAAGAAUAAGCCCCGGCUAACUUCGUG